UGAACCACCUUCGGGUGGGGAUUAGUGGCGAACGGGUGAGUAACACGUGGGCAAUCUGCCCUGCACUCUGGGACAAGCCCUGGAAACGGGGUCUAAUACCGGAUACUGACCCUCGCAGGCAUCUGCGAGGUUCGAAAGCUCCGGCGGUGCAGGAUGAGCCCGCGGCCUAUCAGCUAGUUGGUGAGGUAAUGGCUCACCAAGGCGACGACGGGUAGCCGGCCUGAGAGGGCGACCGGCCACACUGGGACUGAGACACGGCCCAGACUCCUACGGGAGGCAGCAGUGGGGAAUAUUGCACAAUGGGCGAAAGCCUGAUGCAGCGACGCCGCGUGAGGGAUGACGGCCUUCGGGUUGUAAACCUCUUUCAGCAGGGAAGAAGCGAAAGUGACGGUACCUGCAGAAGAAGCGCCGGCUAACUACGUGCCAGCAGCCGCGGUAAUACGUAGGGCGCAAGCGUUGUCCGGAAUUAUUGGGCGUAAAGAGCUCGUAGGCGGCUUGUCACGUCGGUUGUGAAAGCCCGGGGCUUAACCCCGGGUCUGCAGUCGAUACGGGCAGGCUAGAGUUCGGUAGGGGAGAUCGGAAUUCCUGGUGUAGCGGUGAAAUGCGCAGAUAUCAGGAGGAACACCGGUGGCGAAGGCGGAUCUCUGGGCCGAUACUGACGCUGAGGAGCGAAAGCGUGGGGAGCGAACAGGAUUAGAUACCCUGGUAGUCCACGCCGUAAACGGUGGGCACUAGGUGUGG
rnacentral:rRNA from 1 species